rnacentral:rRNA from 1 species
AUGGCACCUGGAGGCUUUGUGGAUUGGAGGGGAAACGCCAUUAAUAAAGAGGUGCAUGGCGGAGUCAGAGCAGCUUGGUUUUUGUACGUUCUGACUGUGGUAACCAACGUGGUUAUUGUCCCAAACCUGCUGAAUCUGGUCACUUACCUACACGGAACAAUGCACAUGGGGGUCUCAGGCUCUGCAACUACAGCCACUAAUUUUAUUGGUGCCACAUCUGGCUUUGCACUGAUGGGAGCUUUCCUCUCGGACUCAUACAUUACUCGCUCUAGAACUAUGCUCCUCUUUGGUCCGUUUAUGUUUCUGGGAUACGGAUUGCUAGCACCGCAAGCCUACCUUCUCUCACUCCACCCACCACCUUUGCAAUAG